rnacentral:rRNA from 1 species
UACGUAGGGUGCAAGCGUUUGUCCGGAUUUAUUGGGCGUAAAGAGCUCGUAGGCGGCUUAGAAAGUCAGGUGUGAAACCUCCAGGCUCAACCUGGAGACGCCACUUGAUACUUCUAUGGCUUGAGUUCGGUAGGGGACCAUGGAAUUCCUGGUGUAGCGGUGAAAUGCGCAGAUAUCAGGAGGAACACCGAUGGCGAAGGCAGUGGUCUGGGCCGAUACUGACGCUGAGGAGCGAAAGCGUGGGGAGCGAACAGG